GCCGGGUGUGGUGGCUCACGCCUGUAAUCUCAGCCACUUUGGGAGGCUGAGGCAGGUGGAUCACCUGAGGUCAGGAGUUCAAGAACAGCCUGGCCAACAUGGUGAAACCCUGUCUCCA
ensembl:misc_RNA Metazoa_SRP Metazoan signal recognition particle RNA